GUAUAGGCAAUAGAAAUUUUUACCCUGGCACGAUAGACAUAGUACCGUAAGGGAAAGAUGAAAGAACUAUAUCAAGCAUUAAAAAGCAAAGCAAAACCCUUAUACCUUCUGCAUAAUGUAUUAACUAGAAAUAACUUUACACAGAGAACUACGGCCAAGUGUCCCAAAACCAGAUGAACCACCCAAGAACAGCUGAAAGAGCAGACUCACCUAUGUGGCAAAAUAGUAAGAAGAUUGAUAAGUAGUGGUGAUAGCUGGUUGUCCAAGAUGGAAUUUUAGUUCAACUUUAAAUUUACCCACAGAAUUACUUAAUCUUCCUGUAUGUUUAACUGAGUCUAAAAACAGGGACAGCUCUUUAGACAUUAGGAAACAACCUUCCUACAGAGAGUAAAAAAUAUUACCACCAUCGUUGGCCCAAAAGCAGCCACCAAUUAAGAAAGUGUUUAAGCUCAACAUCUAACUAUCUUAAAUUCUAAUCACGCUACUGAACCCCUAACAUCACAUUGGUCUAAUCUAUUACUUAAUAGAAGCAAUAAUGUUAACAUAAGUAAUAUGAAGAUAUUCUCCAUUGUAUAAGCUUACAUCAGACUGGAAUAAUCCACUUACAGUUAGCAGCAUAACAUUAAUAAACAAUAUAAUAAGCACCCUAUUGUUUACACUGUUAACCAACACAGGUAUGCUCUAAGGAAAAAUUACAAAAAGUAAAAGGAACUUGGCAAAUCUUGUCCCGCCUAUUUACCAAAAACAUCACCUCUAGCAUUACCAGUAUUAGAGGCACUGCCUGUCCAGUGACAUAUGUUCGAUGGCCGCAGUAUCCUGACUGUGCAAAGGUAGCAUAAUCACUUGUUCCCUAAAUAGGGACUUAUAUGAAUGGCCACAUGAGGGUUCAGCUGUCUCUUACUUUUAAUCAGUGAAAUUGACGUAUCCAUGAAAAGGCAGAUAUAAACAAAUAAGACGAGAAGACCCUAUGGAACUUUAGUUCAUUAAUACAAGUAAAACUCAAGCCUACAGGCCCUAGCCUACUCCCCCUGCAUUAAAAAUUUUGGUUGAGGUGACCUCAGGGCAUAAUCCAACCUCUGAACAACCUAAACUAAGACCGCACUACUCUAAGUGAAUACACAUUGACCCAAUAAUUUGAUCAAUGGAAUAAGUUAUGCUAGGGAUAACAGUGCAAUCCUAUUCUAGAGUCCAUAGCGACAAUAGGGAUGACUACCUCGAUGCUGAAUCAGGACAUCUUAAUGCUGGAGCCGCUAUUAAGAGUUUGUUUGUUCAACGAUUAAAGUCCUACGUGAUCUGAAUUCAGACCAGAAUAAUCCAGGUCAGUUCCUAUCUAUUUAACAUUUCUCCUAGUAUGA
rfam:Homo sapiens chromosome 8, GRCh38 reference primary assembly.